AGUAACUGAUGAGAUUUCUCAGAGAAAUCUGAAGACAGAAUGAUAAAAGCUAGGCUCUUGACAUAAACUACACAUUCAUUUAAGUCUCCCUAUACUGUGUAAGCAAAACCCCAACACUGUCCCUUGUCACCAGCCUUUCCUGUGCUUCUAAAUUCUGGGUGGUUCCAGGGCCAAGCCUGAGGGUAGGGCAGCAGUAGAAAUAGCAGACCUGCAGUCUUCGACACUGCUGCCUGGAAACCCCACAGCAAAACCCUGCUGGGGAGGAGCAGAUGCAUGUGUGCUGCACACACAGUCAAGGGACACACACAGGGGCAGGCAGCCAGGCUUGCUGGAACCACCUGCCUGUAUGUUAGCCCUAAACUCGCUACGCAGUUAGAAAACCUACCCUCACGCUCUGAUGCCACCUGGGCCAAGACUGGCAAGAAGCGUGCUACAUCCCGCCGCUGUUCAACUCUUCCUGCAAGGCUGGAGGCUGACUUGUGUCAUUUAACCAGGUGUUGUCACCGUCUUAUCCUUCUACAUCGUUUUUUAUGUUAAGUGAAAACAUCUUCUAAGAAAACAAAAAAGCCUAUGAAGAACACUGAUGCGAUUAAGAAAAGCCCAUGGGCUAGAACAAAAGUUGGGGUGGGGUGGGGGUGGGUAAAGCAUUUUGAGAAAAGUGAAUGUAUAAAAAACACAACAUUGAUGCUGCAUAUGUCCUAACCUACUGUGCAUACAACUUGGUCUGUGAAAGGAAAAUAAAGGAAAAGCAUGAAAGACCUGACGCCGAUCACUUGCUGGUGAUAGGAGAAGCCACAAAUACCUGACACCAAGUUUUAAAAGAAAUUUUAGAGCCCAAGGAAAACACUAGCUGAGUGCCCCAGUCAGCUGAACAAACCUUUCUUCCCCAAUAUCCCUUUCCUGACUGUCCCAACACCCCACACCACAUCAGACUCGCCUGCUCCAGCCUCCUCCUCAUUCAAGGCAGCUCCUUUGGAAUGAAGAGGACACAUUAAUCAAAGGAAAAGGGGGAGACCAGGUCAGAUAAGACAAGGCUUCAGUAACUCAAGGGAAAGUCUUUUUCUCCCAGGGGGAAAGGCAGUUUCAAGGGCUGACAACCUCGCUGUUAUAGUGCAGACUAGACCAUGCAGAGGGCUGGAGUUCUCAUAGAAGAGGUUCUUUAGCCAAGCCCAAGCCCACCACAGCUGGGGCUGCACUCAGAGGGGCCAGAGGUUCCCAGGAUCCCCCCAACCUGCCUUAGUCUCUGCGACCACACCUGACAGCUGUCCACAACUGAGGCUGAACCAAAGAGCUACAGGUGGAAGCAUAUCUACUUUGUCUACACCCGUGUGGAGUGUGGUGGACAGUCAACAGAAGCCUGUUAAUAAUGAGUAGCUUGCUGCAUUAGUCUAAAGCAAGGUCUCCAGAACCAGAAGGCCUAGCUCUACCACUCAUUGGCUGUGUGACCCUGGGCAGGUUACUUAACUUCCCUGUGACUCAGUUUCCUUACCUAUGAGAUGGAGACAAUAUUAGCACCUACUUUUCAGGGUGGCUGUGAGGACUAACUAGGCUAAUCCGCAGUGCCUGGCAUGGAGCGGGUCCAGCGGAUCUGCCCACAUUAUCAUGCCAUCUAUCUCAGGAUCCACGGCCAAUCGGACGGGGGCUGGGAGAAGGUCACUGGGUCCUCGUUUCUUCUCCUACAGCCCCAAAGACACAAACAGGAGACCUCCCCCAAGGGGAACCCAUGAGGUCUGGGAUGUGCUUACACGGUUUUAAAGCAAAGAGUCUCAGAGAAACAAUCCAAAAGAAGCAUGAGGUAAACGCAGAACUUGACUUAACCACCCAAUAAUGUAAUUCACCAUCCUUUUAAGUGUAAGGUGUAGAAAACAGGCCUGAAUUGAGUCAAGGUGGCUCUCUGGAACUGGCUGUUUUUCUGGGAGCCUCUGCCGCCCCAUCUCCAUCCCCCAGAACUGAUGGCCAUGUCCAUGAUCUCCCACUUGGACCCCUGCCCUCACCACUCCCUCUGUACUGAGAGCCCUUGGUAUCUCCUCCACCUCCAGUGUUGUAAUGAAGCAGGGCUUCCUUGUGGUCUCUUUCUGAGGUCUCCUGGCAGAAUCCCUCCUCUCCAGUCUGUUCAAACGUCUACUGACCUCUUCACACUGCACUGUAAUGAUGUGCCAGCCCCUCAAGGACAGAGGACUGGGUCCCAGCUCUCCCUUGUCAAGGCAGCCCGGCACUGUACUUGGUGCUCAGGUCCUUAGCAGAUCUGUUUUGUUAGGGCUCAUAUGACAGUCUACCUCUUCUACAGAUGCCAUGAAGAAAAGGAUAACUCUUAAGGGCCAUCCCUAACUCUUAACAUUAACUAUUUUCCUUAUAGUCAUAAAGCACAAAGCACCAGGGAAACAAAUCUGUAAACCUGCAGGUAACCUGAAAUCACCAAGGGCCCUGGAAAUCCCUCUUCCCCAGUUACAGGAUGGACCAUGUACGCUUCCCCCAAGGCCCUGCCUCAGAGUCUGGACCUUGGUCCCAGAGUGGAAUCACCAUCCUUACUCAGCCGGGCCUGAAAAGCAAAUGCAAGCUGUAACUCAUACAUCCAUAAAAUAACCGGUAGUUCAUCCACAAUUCAUAUGGUUAAUGUUAUCAAUAGCCACAAAACAGUCUGAAGUUCCAGAUACUACUUUGAACAUAAAAUGUAAUUAUUAAGAAACUCAGGCUGGUCCAAAUAAGAAGAAAAUGAGGUGAGGUGGCCGGGGAUAGAGAGUAGUCAGAAGCGCACCUGUGUGGAAAGGAGGGGGUGAAAAACGGCACCAGGGGAAGAGGCUGAGAGCAUUUGGGGUCUGAGGGACCUGGCUCACAUCUCAGCUCUGCAGCUACUGACUGGGACCUGGUGCUACACACUUCCCCUGCUCACCGUCCUUGUUUGUAACAUGAAAAUCACCCUAUUCCACAUUUCUGUGAGGCACAUCAAGUACUAAAAGCACAAGAGCUAGCACACUGGGGACUCAAUAAAAAAGCCAGCUGCAGCAAAGCCAGCUUUAGUGGCCAAGUGCCCCCACCUGCUACCAUGGGGCCUGGGGCUGAUGAAGCCAGGGACUCGGACACAGUUCAACCACCUGUAAAUGGGCUGCCCCAGUCUACCCGCUGCCCUCUCAAGGCCCAUGUGAGACUGUAGGUGAAAACACAAGAAAGGGUCAAGUGAAGGAAAGGGAUUACCACCUACACCAAAACCACCUGGUCUGGGGGCAUACUAACUUGGAAUUGACAAUGGUUGUGCUUGCUGGGUUAUAGUUUUUUACUAAUAUGCAAUCUAACAGAAGAAGGUUAAAGGUAGAGAUACUGAGUAAACAAGACAGAAAUGGCAAUGUUUAACCUAAUUCAGAAAACAAGUUACUCCAGCACUUGUGAGAUGUUCUUCACCUGAACACAUGAAUGCAAACAGAGUCACCACAAUGAGGCUGAUGGCAUCUACCUUUCCCCCUCCUCCACUAUGGAGGGCCCAACAUGUGCCUGACACUGAGCCAGCUUCCUUACAGUCUUUCCAAACUUCACAGUUCCAGAAAAACCAUCAUCCUCAUCCUGCUGGGGAGGAAAUCAAAGCUUUAAGAAAUACGGGGGUUGCUCAAGGGCAGUACAUGGCAGGAGCAGAAAUGAAAGCCAGGUCACAUCUGUUCCAGCACCAGGGAUGUUGCUAUUUUUCAACCACUUACAAAAUUUCAACAAGACUUCAUCUUCAUACAAUUAUUAUACUAAAUGUAAAGAAUUUUAAACAGACCAUUAAAGCAGUAGAAGCUUGACAGGCCCCUAUAGGGCAAUAUUUGCCAAAUGGAGGUCUAAGUCUAAAAAAUGCAUUUUAUUAUAUAACUCUACAACUCAGACAAUUCCCUAAUUCAGACAACUCCUUCUUGCCCUGAUUUUAAUCCAAAUUAGUGAUGUUUUAUUACACAUAAAGGAGUCAAUCACCAUUAUGGAUAAAUGCUACCAGACAAAGCAGCAUUUAGAAAACUUUCUAAAAAUAAACACACCUCCCCAACCAACCAGCCAUCAUGCUAAUGUUGGCCAAACUCCCUUCCCCGUGGGCAUAAUACCAGCCUGGGACAGAAAGACAUGUUCUUCCUGUGCCCUGGCUGGCACUCCAGGGGAGGAAAGGGAAGUAACAUUUAUUGUGUGUUGGGUACCAGGUCCAGAGACAGCGCCUUCACUCAUGAGCUCCAGCUUCAUUUCUAAAACCCAUCACUGGGUUUCAUUAUUUAACCAGGAGUGAAAAGUCACUGGGGAAUUGAAUAGUCACAGGAUCUCAAGUAUCAUCACUACAGAGAUCAUUUAUUAAUUGCAAAGAGGAAAAUGUACCUUUAUAAAGGAGGAAGCUGGAGAUCUUUGGAGCUCUUUGCCCAGUAACCAACCAUAUUAUCACUAAUAGAGGGACUGCCUAAUGUCAUGUGCUGCCUGGUGAGAUGUAAUAUGAAGCGCAGAGCACCAGUCACAGAGCAUUCAAUGAAAUCCAACAGCAACUCCAGACCAAACUCAGGAAACAGAGAGGUCAGUGAAACUGCCCAAACACCACAACAAGGUAGUACCCAGACAAGACCCGAAGGUGGUACACAACACAUGACAACUGGCCAGGACUUCUUCAAAUGCAAUGGCAGUUAAGGAAAAACAAAAACAAAAACAAAAACACACAACUCUGUGUGUGUGUGUGCACGUGCGCAUGUGUGUAGGGCAGAUUCUCUAGGGUACAUAAAUGACUUAAAAACAUAACCAAAUGCAAUGUAUGGACACUGACUGGAUCGCAGUUUUUCAGAACUCCAGCUAUAAGAGACCUGUGACAUCUGGGGAAGUGUGAAUAUGGACUGGAUAUUACAUGACACCGUGGAAAUAUACGUUUUCAUAGGUAUGAUCAUGAAACUGGAGAAAACUGUCCUUAUUCUUAGGAGACUCAAUUGAAGUUUUUAGGGAGAAAGUAUGAUGCUGGCUGUAACUUACCUUCAAAUGGAUCAGCCAGAAAAAAAAAAAAGUAUAAAGAGAUAAAGUAAAUGCAGCAAAGUGUGAACAAUUUAUGAAUCUAGGUAGAGGGCAGAUGGGCAUUCAUUGAAUUAUUUUUCAUCUUUUCUUUACAUGUGACAUUUUUCAAGAUAAAAACUGAGAUGGAGUGGGGAGAGGUGAUCCCAGGAAAAGUCGUCCCAACAUGAGGACGUCUGUAUAGAAUACACAGGGAGGCCAGUUCACCAUGCCAUAAAAACAGCAGGAACUCUUACUUGAGAUUAAUAUUUCAAAUCUGGGUAGACUGGCCUGUGAUGUUACUUUGGGCCUCAGGAAAAGAGCUAUCUAUCAUUUCUCAACACCAGCACGUUCCUGUAAACCACUGACUUCUCCCAGCUGGCUAGCCCCCAAAUCUGUAAUGUGACAGUAGGCAGGUAGAUUUAUUUAACCUCUCAAAUUGCUUGCUUUGGUAAAAGCCAAUUCGGUCUACACUUUAGCCUAGGACUCUGAUGGUUCAUGCUGAAGGAGGCUUCAGUUUGCUUUGCCUAUAUGGGUUUUGAGAGUAUCCACAAACACCAACACACACACUGGUCAAUACUGACCUUCGGCUGACAGGCAGGCCACUGCCCUGUGCUAGAACAAUUUAUGAUCUCCAGACCUGCUCGGCUCUUUUCCUCUGGGACUUCAUUGAGUCCCAGACUAUAGAUAAAACCACCCAAACUGGAGGUAUUGCUUGGCAGUUAGAUCAUGACAAAGGUCCCUCAUUUAAUGUACUUCUUUCUACUCAGACACUUAGAGCCUUUCAGUGACAUUCCAGAAAACCCAGAGGGGGAUGUUCCUUUCUAAGCUUGCCUCUGAGUUUGUUCAGCUUUCCUUGCACACAGAGGGUACCUUGGCUGAAGCCUCUGGAAAGUUGAACAAGGUGAUGCUGACACUGGAACAGGCUUAUUACAGGCAGAUGGUGGCCUAUAAUAGUAUGUUUAUGUAGCUUGAAGAAUCAGCUACAUGUAUCAACUGGAAAUACCAACUCUCAAGUGCCUGGACUGAGGCACCUGAAGAUCCCCAUACAGUGAGCCAAGGACCAGGAUGAGAAAUCCCCAUGAGAAUCAAAAUCCUCUCCUGAGAUCUAAGAUAUAUGAGAGGCUUCCGCUAGGUAACAUUUACCUCCAAGUAAAAAACACAACAAACUAUAAAUGGAGGAAAAAGUGAUUUUCUGGGAAGAAAAAGAAAAAGACAGUCGUCUGAGGAUUCACUGAAAUCAGAAUGUGAAGUGAUGAAAGUACCAGAUAGCCUGUCUGGCAGAGAAGAGACCACUUUAUUGAAUAGAGCUAGUCUAAGAGGAAGAGAUUAGUACCCUCCCCAAACUGGGGAAGUUUCAGAAGUGUCUGAGCCCACUGCCCAGUGGGACAAUAGCACCCAGAGGGAAAAACUGUGACUCCAAAGAGGACAGGGACUGUUAGUUUCAACUGCUCUGGAGAGAUGGUUGGUAUUUAAAAUAUGUUUGAAGAAACCAAUGAUGGAAUUGAUAAAGGAUGGAGUGGCCUCAUCUUAACAAACCAGACCUCCCUGAAGGGCUGCAAGAUGAGCAGUCUUAUCAUGGGAGGCUCCACUUCUGACAGCAGCUAUGGCAAAACGAGGAAUGGGCCGCUGCACCAAGAAGACUGCCGAGCAGCUUGCAGGUGCACUUCCUUGAGAUCAGCUCCACCCCCUUUCCUUUUUCCCAGCAAAGUCCAUUCCAAAAUGUAAACUCCUUAAGAGAUUUCCUCCCCUUCCCAGCCUUGCAAAAUGGAAAAGCUCCACAGUUCUACUUCAAUAGAAGCAACAAGUCUGAGAUAAGAAAGGUCCUUCCCUUGGUCCCAGUCAGUGAGACUCUCUUUGGGCAGCCAUCUGCUUGUAGGUGGGGGAAUAGGGCUCUCGAUUCAUGUCCAUGCCUAUGGCAAGGGAAGACACAUUCUAGCCUUUCCAGCUCUUCCCCUCAUCACCCCUAUUCUUCAUUGUCCCAGAACCCAUUACCACAAGCUCUCUCCAUGUCUAGCCUAACACUGAGUGAGACACUGCUUCCUAGUCCCACCUUUGUAU
ensembl:lncRNA